GCCCUGUGGGUAGCUCAGUUAGUACAGCAUGAGUCUUGUAAUCUUAGGGUUGUGGGUUCAAGCCCUAUGUUGGGCA